GGACACUGCAUAGCUAUGGCCACAUGUGUCACCUCCGAGGGAGAUGUGAGAGAAACGCAGAGGGAUCGCUUGUGACUGUGCCUUCUCGAUGUAUGUUGGACUGUUCUGCUCAAAUAGCAGCAGUAGGGCUGAUUGGAGCCAUUGUACGUGUCGGGAACAUAUCAGAACACCGAGAAUAGCGUCAUGUCAUAAGGACUCAGAGCAGGUGGACCCUGCUGUGAUGCACAAAGGGAUGAAAUGGGAUUUUGUUGGCGCCAAGACCUGAUUGCUUUGCCAGUUACCCUCACCCCUGGCUCACGAGGAAAGUGUAUUGAGGAGAUUCUCGAGGAACCACAUGAGUUUUAAUAUCAUAAGCUUCUGCCCUGUAUUGAAAGCACGUGCUCUCUACGGUUAAUGUCAUCCUUGGGAAGCCCGUCUUGAACACCUGGAAGGUUUUACAACAGCAAUGGACCAAUCAGAGUUCACAGCUACUACAUUCAGUGGAAAGAUUUUCCCAAGCACUACAAUUAGGAAAUAGCCCUCCUUUGUCCUUCUCCCAAACUAAUGUGCAGAUGAGCAGCAUGGUAAUCAUGUCCAGCCACCCAAAAACCUAUCAACAGAGGUUUGUUUUCCCAUACUUUGACCUCUGGGGCAAUGUGGUCAUUGACAAGAGCUAUCUAGAAAACUUGCCAUCAGAUUCACCUAUUGUCACCAUGGCUUUCCCAACUCUCCAAGCCAUCCUUGCCCAGGGUAUCCAGGAAAAUAAUUUUGCAGAGAGCUUAGUGAUGACGACCACUGUCAGCCACAAUGUGACUAUGCCAUUCAAGAUUUCAAUGACUUUUAAGAACAACAGCCCUUCAGGCGGCGAAACAACAUGUGUCUUCUGGAACUUCAGGCUUUCCAACAACACGGGGGGGUGGGACAGCAGUGGGUGCUAUGUUGAAGAAGGUGAUGGGGACAAUGUCACCUGUAUCUGUGACCACCUAACAUCAUUCUCCAUUCUCAUGUCCCCUGACUCCCCAAAUCCUGGUUCUCUCCUGGGAAUACUACUGGAUAUUAUUUCUUACGUUGGGGUGGGCUUUUCCAUCUUCAGCUUGGCGGCCUGUCUAGUUGUGGAAACUGUGGUGUGGAAAUCAGUGACCAAGAACCAGACUUCCUAUAUGCACCACACCUGCAUAGUGAAUAUUGCUGCCUCCCUUCUGGUCGCCAACACCUGGUUCAUUGUGGUUGCUGCCAUCCAGGACAAUCACUACGUACUCUGCAAGACAGCCUGUGUGGCUGCCACCUUCUUCAUCCACUUCUUCUACCUCAGCAUCUUCUUCUGGAUGCUGACACUGGGCCUCAUGUUGUUCUAUCGCCUGCUUUUCAUUCUGCACGAAACAAGCAGGUCCACUCAGAAAGCUAUUGCCUUCUGUCUUGGCUACGGCUGCCCUACCGGCCAUCUCUGUCAUCGUGCUGGGAGCCACCCAGCCCUGGGAAGUCUAUAUGAGGAAGAAUGUCUGUUGGCUCAACUGGGAGGACACCAAGGCCCUGCUGGCUUUUGCCAUCCCAGCAAUGAUCAUUGUGGUGGUGAACAUAACCAUCACUAUUGUGGUCAUCACCAAGAUCCUGAGGCCUUCCAUUGGAGACAAGCCAUGCAAGCAGGAGAAGAGCAGCCUGUUUCAGAUCAGCAAGAGCACUGGGGUCCUCACGCCACUCUGGGGGCCUCACUUGGGAUUUUGAUCUCACCACUGUGUUCCCAGGGACCAACCUUGUGUUCCAUAUCGUAUUUGCCAUCCUCAAUGUCUUCCAGGGAUUAUUCAGUUUACUCUUUGGAUGCCUCUAGGAUCUGAAGGUACAGGAAGCUUUGCUGAAUAAGUUUUCAUUGUCGAGAUGGUCUUCACAGCACUCAAAGUCAACAUCCCUGGGUUCAUCCACACCUGUGUUUUCUAUGAGUUCUCCAAUAUCAAGGAGAUUUAACAGUUUGUUUGGUAAAACAGGAACAUAUAAUGUUUCCACCCCAGAAGCAACCAGCUCAUCCCUGGAAAACUCAUCCAGUGCUUAUUCGUUGCUCAACUAAGAACGGGAUAAUCCAACAUACGUGACCUCCUGGGGACAGUGGAUGGAUGUACUUUUAAAAAGAGAUCCUUGCAAAGCAAUGGAGAACGUGUUCUUGGGGCAGGUUUCCAGGAGCAGAUGCCAAAAAGACUUUCAUAGAGAAGAGGCUUUCUUUUGUAAAGACAGACUGAAAAUAAUUGUUAUGUUUAUGUUUGUUCCCUCCCCCUCCCCCUCCCCCUUGUGUGAUACCACAUGUAUAUAGUAUUUAAGUGAAACUCAAGCCCCCGAAGGCCCAACUUCUCUGUCUAUACUGUAAUAUAGAAUUUCAAAGAGACAUUUUCACUUUCUACACAUUGGGCACAAAGAUAAGCUUUGAUUAAAAUAGUAAGUAAAAGACAACCUAGGAAAUACUUCAGUGAAUUCUAGGAAGGAAGGAAGAAAGGAAGGAAAGAAGGGAGGGAAACAGGAAGAAAGGGAAAAAGAAGAAAAAGAGAAAGAUGAAAAUAGGAACAAAUGUAGACAAACAACAUUAAGGGCCACGUUUUAAGAUUUCCAUGUUAAUGAUCUAAUAUAAUCACUCAGAUAGUGCAACAUUGAGAAUUUUUUUUAAUGGCUCAAAAAUGGAAACUGAAAGUAAGUCAUGGGGAAUGAAUACUUUGGGCAGUGUCUUCCUGAUGUCUUCUUAGCUAAGAGGAGAAAAAAAAGGCUGAAAAAAUAGGGAGGAAAUUCCUUCAUCAGAACGACUUCAAGUGGAUAAUAAUAUUUAUAAGAAAUGAAUGGAAGGAAAUAUGAUUCUCCUGAGGAUAACUUUGUAUGUUAAGGUUUGAACUAAGUGACUGUAUCUACAGAGGAAGUAUUAUAAAGAUACGUCAUUAGAUCCAAGUGCUGAUUGAAUUUUUAUCGUUUAUCAGAAAAGCCUUGUAUUUUAGUUCGUUCCAUAUUUUGAAAGCAAAAAAUAUAUAUUUUAUAUACCUUUCAAUUGCCAAAUUUGAUAUAUUGCGCUGAAGACAGACCCUGUCAUAUAUUUAAUGGCUUCAAGCAGGUACUUCUCUGUGCAUUAUAGAAUAUAUUUUAAUAAUCUUAUUGCAUUGUACAUUAUUAUUGCUGUUGUCACUGUUAUUGUUACUGUGGAUAAUGGCCCUUGGUGUGUUGCAUAGCUCCCUAGGUAUUCUCUGUUUCCAUCUUUACUUUCCCACACCAAUAUACAUUAAGCAUUUUGCAUGGUCUAACUUGUGUUUAUUCCAACCACUUGGAAAACUCCUGGAAAGAAAUUUUACAUUUGGCUGUUCUAUGCUGCUAAUGACACUUGACCUUGUUGAACAAAUGGCAGAGACUUUCCCAAGGAUUUGAUUGUUUGUGAAUUAUCUGCAUGUGUACUUUCUUUUUGUGUGUAUGUAUUUCAUUAAAAAA
rnacentral:lncRNA from 1 species